rnacentral:ncRNA from 12 species
UUUAUUUGAAGUAGAGAUUGUGCUGCUACGCACCCGCCGGGUCAAAAGAAAUGCAGGAAGGGGCACCCCUGCCAAAUAAA